GGUAAACCCGCUUCCCCCUUGUCAGUCUCUCGAAAUGCAGAAGACCCAAUUUUUCUUCGGUCUCAGCCUCUGCCUUUCCACUACUUCUCCCACAACAUCACUGCCGUCAUCCUCAACGCCCUUCGCGGCGGCACACUCGGCCCACACCAUGGCUCUCAAGAGCACCGUCGCUGCGAGCGGUGAAGGUUCGGGCUUUUCAGAUCUGUAGAGAGAGAAAUCGAAUGACCUGACUCGGUUUAGCAGAGACGGGACUCGGACGAGUUGGGGUGAGUCGCGUUCACCGAAUUGUUGAUGUUGAUGUUUGUUCUGGGUUUUGGAGUUUGAAGUGAUGAAUAUUGUGAUUUGUGCCGAUCACGAGGUUCAGUACGCAAGAGGACGGCGGCAGUUAGGAGGCGGCGGCAUAGAGCUCUGAAGAAACCACCGGCGACUUCUCGGUCGACGGCGGUUGUUGCUGAGGCGGUCGGCGGUGAGUAGAACAUCGGCGAUCUGGAGGAAGAAGAUGACGGAGGUCGCAUGAGACGCGUGGACUUACAGUUGCGAUGAAAUAUUUUGGUUCUGGAAUGUUGGUGAUGGCGCCGAGAGUGAAGAGGUUAUGGUUGCCGAUGCCGACGUGAAGCCCGUGAAGGCGGUUCCGGAGCCUAGUGAAGGCGGGACCGGUGUGUGCCGCCUCUGGAACUGAGGAAGGCAUCAAAUUGAUGUGAACUUGAUAAUCAAAUGGCCAACCCAGAACUGAGGAAGGUAUCAAAUUGAACUUAAUUUAACUAUAAUGGAAAGGCGGAGGCUGGGGCAAUGAAAAAUUGGGUCUUCUGCAUUUAGAGAGAGAAGAAGAAGAGACUGACAAGGGGAAGCGAGUUUAACCCCUGCCCAUUCUAGUAUUGGACACUUAGGCGUAAGAACAAGUGGCCACUUCAGCAGGGAGAAUGAAAUUCAUCCUCCAUGAAAGUAUUGCUCGACAGAUAAACCCAGCCCCCACACAACCCUAAACCUAAAGUUCCCUCUUCACUACUCUCAGCGCCGCCACACGACCUACUCAUUCCCUCUUCACUACUCUUCCUCUCUUUCCUUGCCAUCACUGGCUUAGCUGCACAGCCUACACCCCCACAUUCUCAGUUGACAACAAAAUUGAAGAUCUGUCUCACUCGGGUACAACCGAGUAACAGACAACAAACCGACUUCUCAGUAAUCAACCACGGAUUCAUCAUUUUUUCAAAUUCGAAUGAAUAAACUCUUAUAAACAAGAUGGACAUAAAAGCAUACCUUUUGCGGAAGUUCAGCGCCCAGACACCAAACAGAUCUAUCAAGGAAAACAUAGUUCAACAUGAAAUAUGCGAUGCUAAUGGCAGUCGACAAGUACCCUUCUUUCCGGCUUCCUCAUUUUCACCCAUUUGCAUGUCAAAUCCAGCUCUGGGUAUGACCGCUAGAAUUGGACGUAAUAUAUUGAGGAUUGGCAAUGCUUGUGACCGGGAGUUCUCUUUAUUGGUCAGUUAGUUCGGCGGGAAAUAUGUGACACUAAUGCCAGGCAACAAGUACCCUACUUUCUCAAGACUCAAGUUCAUAAUCCCCUACAUUUGAUUGCUUUGUGACUCCCAGAAUCGGACCUAAUAUGUCGAGGACCAUCAAUGCUUGUGAAUGCGACUUCUUUGAAGUUGCUUGUGAAGGAAACAACAAGCUUUCAUCACCAGAGGGCGUAAUUCAGAUUGCUAGCAAGAUGGUUCCUUCUCAGAUUUCGUCCAAAAUAGCACUUCCUGGGCAGUACUGGAAUUUUGAUAAUGGACCUUUUAAUGGUGGACCAACUCUUCCUGGCAGUAAUUUACAGUAUAUCCCGGAGGAAUCAUUAGAAAACUAUAUUCAACAGCGAUAUCAUGGUCAGGAUAUACUUUCCAAUUAUGCAGGUUAAAAUUGGGAUUGGUGUCACCUUUGCCCUGCAGAUGUACCAUCAAUAUUUUAUGGAGUUUAUUGCUGAGAUUCUGUCAUCCAUUCUCCACAUGCCCAAUUCUUUUCUCCUUAGCUGCUCUGGAGAAUGAUCACAAACACUAUAGAGGUUUCAUGGAGAAUGAUCACAAUGUUUGCGAUGUAGGUUUUCCAUCACCGUGGUAGCAAAAAUUGGAGUUUCCUUAUUCGAAUUUGCAUAACUCACAACAGGGUACACAAUGGAUUCCUGAAGCCUCUGAUAUUUUGAAUAAUCUGAUCUACAAUUCUUCCAAAUCAACAAUUGAGGAUUUAUUGCAAUCUCAGCUGUUGAUGCCAAGGUCUCAAGGGUUUCAUCAGUGGCACCAUCAGUCUUAUGUGUAACUUGAUAAGCCGUGUGAGGGCCUGUCACAGUGUUACCUGGUUGAAGACGAAAAAUGUUGUAAUGGAACAGCAGGGCGAGAAGCAUAUAAGCUCUGCCUGAGUCAGAACAAUCUCAUGGUAUUACUGGUGAACUUUACCAAAGAUCUAGAAAACCAAAUAAUGGUCUCAAAAGGGCUUUCUCGGAUAGAGAUCUUAGUGACACCAACUCCGUCAUCACAGAAGAUGUUCUGUCUCCUUCAAAAUGUCUGAAGACGGAAAAUUCUGAUUCCUUUGAAAGUGGAGUUUGUCAUGCAGUUGAUCCUGCAAUUAAUCAACCUUAUGCAUCUGAACAACUUUCACGCUUGAUGCAACGGCAAGAAACUCCAGUAGGUGAUAGUUCAGUUGUAAUGGAGGUGGACACGGAAUUUCUAACUCCCAUACAAGGCUCCACAAGAACUAGUGUAACUUGGAAUGAUGCCCCAGAUACUGCUCAGAGCUUGGACUUCAAGAGUACACCUAUUCCUGCUGAAGUGUUUAUUGGGGGUUGUAGACACGGGGAGAUAGAGCACACGUGCAUAAGUGAGAAAAGAACUGCUGUCGGAGAAAUUUGUCACUCAAAAGAGCCCCUUGAUAGUCAUAAAGAGGAGGAGAUACAAGUGAGGACCAUGUCCGACACGGCCAACCCAGAAACAAAAGGUGAUUUAAUUGCCCCUGCAGCUGUUAAUGAGUCUGCAAAGAAGUCAGAGGAACCAAAUAUACCAGUUGUGUCUUUUGCUGAUUUUUUCACGGCAGAGCAAAUAAAGGAGCAUAUUUCCAGUCUAAGGCAAUGGAAUAAUCAGAGUAUCAUGAAGGAGGGAUCGGAAAAUACAAUCGCACAUUCUGUUGGUCAAGGCUCGUGCCAGUUGUGUGCCAUGGGAAAGCUUUUGUUUGCUCCGGCACCUAAGUGUUGUUCAACUUGCGGUGCUCGACAAAACCCAGUUUGUUUUGUUUUCAUGGGCUGGAUGAAAUGGGUACACAACAUUGCUUUUGUCCCUCAUGCUUUAGGGGGUCUCGUGGUGGUAGCAUCUCAUUCCAAGGGGUUUCCAUUUCCAAAGCAAAUCUGUACAAGGCUUUGGGUUCAAUGUAACAAAUGUGAACAAUGGCAACCCCAGAUAUGUGGUCUCUACAAUAAGAAACAAGACUUGGAAGGAAAAACAGAGUACAUGUGUCCAAAAUGCCGUUUAGAAGAAAUAGAAAUUGGACAGCAGAUGCCUUUAUCAAAUACUGCAGCAUUUGGAGCAAAAAAUCUGCGACAGACUAGGCUUAGUGAUCACAUUGAGGGAAGGCUCUUUUGGCGUCUCAAGCAAGAGAGAGAAGAGAGGGCAAAGGCUUUAGGAAAUAACGUUGAUGAGGUACCUGAAGCAGCUGAUCUCGUUGUCAGAGUGGUGUUAUCUGUCAAAAAACAAUUGAAAGUGAAACAACAAUUUUUUGAUAUCUUCCAUGACGAGAAUUAUCCUGCAGAAUUCCCAUACAGAUCUAAGGUGAUUCUUUUGUUUCAGAAAAUUCUAGGUGUAGAUGUAUGCCUUUUCGUAAUGUAUGUUAAAGAGUUUGGUUUAGAAUGUUGUUCGCUAUCUUGAUUCUGUCAAGUACUUCAUACCAGAGAUAGAGACUGUUAAUGGCGAAGCUCUUCGCACCUUCGUUUACCAUGAAAUAUUGAACAAUCCUUUACAAGAAUUUUCAGCCAUUAGUCAUAAAGAAUGAUUCACCUUCAAAGAAGUCGUAUUCACAAGCAUUGAUGGUCCUCAACAUAUUAGGUCCGAUUUUGAGAGUCACAAAGCAAUCAAAUGUAUGGGAUUGUGAACUUGAGUCUUGAAAGAGCUGGAUUUGUCAUACAUAUGGGUGAAUAUGGGGAAGCUGAAAAGCAAGGUACUUGUUACCUGGCAUUAACAUCACAUAUUUCCUGCCGAACUAACUGACUAUUAAAGAAGUCCCGAUCACAAGCAUUGCCAAUCCUCAAUGUAUUACGUCCAAUUUUAGCGGUCAUGCUAAUCAAAUGUAGGGUUUUGUGAAGUUGAGUCUUGAAAUCCAGGGGACAUACCAAGAGCUGGAUUUGUCAUUCAAAUGGGUAAAAAUGAGGAAGUUGGAAAGAAGGGUACUGGUCGACUACCAUUAGCAUCACAAAUUUCACGCGGAAUUAUGUUUUCUUGAUAGAUCUGUUUGGUAUCUGGGUGUUGAACUUCCGCAAAAUGUAUGCUUUUAUGUCCAUCUUGUUGUUUAUGAGAGUUUAUUCCAAGUUACACUAGUUCUUGUGGAGUCUUGUAUGGGAGUUAGAAGUUCUGUGUCCACCUCCAUUACAACUGAAUUAUCACCUACCGGAGUUUCAUGCCAUUGCAUCAAUCGUGAAAGUUGUUCAGAUGCAUAAGGUUGAUUAAUUGCAGGAUCAAUUGCAUGACAAACUCCACUUUCAAAAGAAUCAGGAUUUUCCGUCUUCAGACAUUUUGAAGGAGACAGAACAUCUUCUGUAAUGACAGAGUUGGUGUCACUAAGAUCUUUAUUAGAGAAAGCCCUUUUGAGACCAUUAUUUGGUUUUCUAAAUCCUUGGUAAAGUUCACUAGUAAUACCAUGAGAUUGUUCUGAAUAGAGCUCAGAGCAUAAAUGCCUCUUGCCCUACUGUUCCAUUACAACAUAUUUCGUCUUCAACCAAGUAACAGUGUGUUGCGGUGCCACUGAUGAAAUGCUAAGAUUGCAAUAAAUCCUCAAUCAUUGAUUUGGAUGGAUUGUAUUUGUCGACUGCCAUUAGCAUCGCAUAUUUCAUAGUGAACUAUGUUUUCCUUUGGUAGAUCUGUUUUGUAUUUGUGCGCUGAACUAUCAUAAAAUGUAUGCUUUUAUGUACGUCUUCUUAUUUAUAAGAGUAAUUAUUUGUAAUAAUGUCAAAA